rnacentral:rRNA from 1 species
AGCUCCAAGAGCAUAUAUUAAAGUUGUUGCAGUUAAAAAGCUCGUAGUUGAAUUUCUUAUAAAUGUACCUGGCCCGCGGCCCUCAAGGCUUGUGUGUGCCGGAGCGCGUUUAUAAUCUUUCUAGAAAUACGAUUUUGCCAUUAACUUGGUGGAGUCGCAAAUCUAGAACUUUUACUUUGAAAAAAUUAGAGUGUUUAAAGCAGGCAAUUUGCCAUAAAUAUAUUAGCAUGGAAUAAUAAUCUAGGACUUCGGUUCUAUUUUGUUGGUUUCUAUAACUGAAGUAAUGAUUGAUAGGGACAGUUGGGGGUGCUAGUAUUGGCCGGCCAGAGGUGAAAUUCUUGGAUUCGGUCAAGACUAACUUAUGCGAAAGCAUUCACCAAGGAUGUCUUCU